AAACUUGCGCCAGGCAGAAGAAGAAGAAAACGAAGUUAACAAGCCGCUCGCGGGGGAACAGAAGGAACACCAGUUCAGAACAACGGGAUCGCGGUGUCGAAGACAGCCUUAGCCGGAAAACAGAUAAGGAAAGGCUCGGUCAUGCGCAUCAAGUUUCUUCUCACCGCGGCCCUGGAGAAAAUACAUGCAAUAAGGAAUGGCAAGCGUGACAUGGACUUGGUUCGUCUUGUGCUCUUGGAGAACCUGGUGCAGAAGUUGACUGCUGUCCUGCAGAGCGAUGAAAACUGGGACGACACCGAAGAGGCCGCAAACGGUGACGGCGCACGCGGCCAUGUCGCAGUCGAAGCCCCUUCUGACUUACCUCGACGGUCCGCUGGGAAGCACAAACCUGAGACCCAGAGUGCUACAGAUGGACAAUCGAAGCUAGCGCGACCUUGCGGCCAGCUUUCGCAGCAGCAAGACAACAUGCAUCAAUUUAUCAGGGCGUUGGGCCUUCAACUCGCAAGCAAGAACUCUUUGGAGGAGGAGCUUGGUCCUGAGCCGGACAUAGUAUUCUUGGAUGACUAAGAUGAGCCGCAUAGGAUGUGACGCUAGCACAACGUCAUCGCUGAAGCGUCAUCCUUUGUAGUAAACCUAUUUUGCGCCUCGUGAUUCACAACGGGCUCGUGCCGUAGAAUCUUGCAGUACGAAAACAGCGUAAUAAAGCGUAAGCUGAAGCAGAA